AGAGUUUGAUCAUGGCUCAGGACGAACGCUGGCGGCGCGCCUAACACAUGCAAGUCGAACGAGCGAGAGAGAGCUUGCUUUCUCGAGCGAGUGGCGAACGGGUGAGUAACGCGUGAGGAACCUGCCUCAAAGAGGGGGACAACAGUUGGAAACGACUGCUAAUACCGCAUAAGCCCACGGGUCGGCAUCGACCAGAGGGAAAAGGAGCAAUCCGCUUUGAGAUGGCCUCGCGUCCGAUUAGCUAGUUGGUGAGGUAACGGCCCACCAAGGCGACGAUCGGUAGCCGGACUGAGAGGUUGAACGGCCACAUUGGGACUGAGACACGGCCCAGACUCCUACGGGAGGCAGCAGUGGGGAAUAUUGCACAAUGGGGGAAACCCUGAUGCAGCGACGCCGCGUGGAGGAAGAAGGUCUUCGGAUUGUAAACUCCUGUUGUUGAGGAAGAUAAUGACGGUACUCAACAAGGAAGUGACGGCUAACUACGUGCCAGCAGCCGCGGUAAAACGUAGGUCACAAGCGUUGUCCGGAAUUACUGGGUGUAAAGGGAGCGCAGGCGGGAAGACAAGUUGGAAGUGAAAUCCAUGGGCUUAACCCAUGAACUGCUUUCAAAACUGUUUUUCUUGAGUAGUGCAGAGGUAGGCGGAAUUCCCGGUGUAGCGGUGGAAUGCGUAGAUAUCGGGAGGAACACCAGUGGCGAAGGCGGCCUACUGGGCACCAACUGACGCUGAGGCUCGAAAGUGUGGGUAGCAAACAGGAUUAGAUACCCUGGUAGUCCACACCGUAAACGAUGAUUACUAGGUGUUGGAGGAUUGACCCCUUCAGUGCCGCAGUUAACACAAUAAGUAAUCCACCUGGGGAGUACGACCGCAAGGUUGAAACUCAAAGGAAUUGACGGGGGCCCGCACAAGCAGUGGAGUAUGUGGUUUAAUUCGACGCAACGCGAAGAACCUUACCAAGUCUUGACAUCCUGUGACAGACGUAGAAAUGCGUUCUUCCUUCGGGACACAGAGACAGGUGGUGCAUGGUUGUCGUCAGCUCGUGUCGUGAGAUGUUGGGUUAAGUCCCGCAACGAGCGCAACCCUUAUGGUCAGUUACUACGCAAGAGGACUCUGGCCAGACUGCCGUUGACAAAACGGAGGGAGGUGGGGAUGACGUCAAAUCAUCAUGCCCUUUAUGACUUGGGCUACACACGUACUACAAUGGCGUUAAACAAAGAGAAGCAAGACCGCGAGGUGGAGCAAAACUCAGAAACAACGUCCCAGUUCGGACUGCAGGCUGCAACUCGCCUGCACGAAGUCGGAAUUGCUAGUAAUCGUGGAUCAGCAUGCCACGGUGAAUACGUUCCCGGGCCUUAUACACACCGCCCGUCACACCAUGAGAGCAGGGAGGACCCGAAGUCGGUAGUCUAACCGCAA
rnacentral:rRNA from 1 species